ACCGGGUUGGACGCUCAUUUUGGAGGAACUGGCCUUGUCGGAUCUCUGGAGAAUCUUCCUUUCUCUUCAUCCUUAAGGAAAAGCCCCUGUUCGGGCUAUUUCUGUCCCGCUCCAUCUACAGUGGCGUCGCGCACAUGUCUUCCGAUCUUGUUCAGUUACAUAAAUGAGCGACAAAGCUAAUUUUACUGUAAUAUCUCUCUCUUCACUACGCUGCUGCUCUUCUCCUCUCUCAACACAUGUACAUAUAUGUGCAGUCUCCAUCCCACGGAUCAUCCAUUUGCAUCUCUAUCUGCAGCUCGCACCACCUCUUCCUGGCACCAUGCCAAUGGAUGUUGUUGGUGUUUUUCACCAUAUUCAAAUGGCUAAAAAAUCGCAUUCCACUCCACAGAAAAAACGUAACCUUUCCCAAUUUGGUAUUCACACGUCAUCACAUGAUGAUUGUCAAGGUCUUUACUCGAAAUAAAUGAAAGAAAUUCCGGAACCGAAUUCCCUUCCCCCAUGAAAACAUUUCGAUAGCGAAGUUUUAAACACCCUAUCAACUGUAUUGAUCUUGUGGUAAUAUGAUUGGAUUAUUAUGAUAGAGAUUCCACCAAGCCAAAUAUAUUCGAGCGAUCA